GCCGUGACGUGACGGGGCCGGGAACGC
rnacentral:sRNA from 1 species